rnacentral:tRNA from 1 species
GCCGCCUUAGCUCAGCGGAAGAGCAAUCCCUUCGUAAGGGAAAGGUCCUCGGUUCAAAUCCGAGAGGCGGCU